rnacentral:tRNA from 1 species
GCCCCUGUGAUGUAAUCGGAAAACAUCACUGAAUCAGACUUGGUGUUUUACAGGUUCAAAUCCUGUCAGGGGUACUA